AUUGAACGCUGGCGGCAGGCCUAACACAUGCAAGUCGAACGAGUGGCGGACGGGUGAGUAAUGUCUGGGAAACUGCCUGAUGGAGGGGGAUAACUACUGGAAACGGUAGCUAAUACCGCAUACUAUCAGAUCUGCCCAGAUGGGAUUAGCUGGUUGGUGGGGUACAGGCGCACCAAGGCGACGAUCCCGAGCUGGUUUGAGAGGAUGACCAGCCAAACUGGAACGGAGACACGGUCCAGACGCGUACGGGAGGCAGCAGUGGGGAAUAUGGCACCAUGGGCGGAAGCCGGAUGCAGCCAUGCCGCGUGGACGAAGAAGGCAUUCGGGUUGUAAAGUACUUUAAGGGGGGAGGCGUUAGCCGCAGAAGAAGCACCGGCUAACUCCGUGCCAGCAGCCGCGGUAAUUC
rnacentral:rRNA from 1 species